UUAUUACUCCCUCCGUCCAACAAAGGAUGUCUCAACUUUGACUAAAUUUGAAUGCAUUUAUACACUAAGUCAUGUCUAGAUACGUCCAAAUUUUAACAAACUUGAGACAUCUUUUGUUGGACGGGGGGAGUAUUAU
rfam:Brachypodium distachyon strain Bd21 chromosome 3, whole genome shotgun sequence.